rnacentral:rRNA from 1 species
AUACCCUAUUAUACAUCAACUAAAUUAGGUAGUAAAAUUCAUUUAAACCAAUAUAAAAUGGCGGCAUUUUAUCUUAUUAGAGGAAUAUGUCUAUUAAUCGACACUUCACGAUAACUUCUACUUUUAUAAAAAUUUUAUAUACCACCAUCUCAAAAUUUAAUCUAGUAAUCUAAUUCCAAUAAUAUUAUUUAUAAAAAGUUAGGUAAAGGUGUAGACUAUAUAAAAGAAAAAGAUGUAUUACAUUAAAAUGUUAUUUAAGGAAAACAAAUAAAAAGAUUUUUAGAAAAAGGAUUUAAAAGUAAUUUUUUAAUAAUAUUAAAAAUUGAAUUAGAUAAUAAAUGUGU